GUGAACUGAAUGCUCAUUGGAAUUCCAGUUCAAGCCUAGACAUGUACGUCCGGGAAAAAACUGAUCAUCUUUCCAGCCCCACCCUUCGUGAAUGAUCCCCCUUGUAUGUUUCCUACUGAGUUAAUGGUCCACCAUCCACCACUACCCACGUGGAAAUAACAUUCCAGGGCUGCCUCAUCUGGUUUUAUUUUUUCCCAAGACGAUACAGAAAUCUGUAUUUUUAUAUAAAUAAACUUAACAUAACUAUUUAUUUUACAUAAACCUAUAUUUUAUGUAAAAAUUCAAAAGGUUGAUGACCGAUUCUUAUUUUUAAACAACACUGUGAAGGCCAAAUUAAAUAUACGAGCUGGCUGGAUGUGGUUUGUGGAGGUCCAGUGUGUGACCUCUGUGUGAGGCAUAAUUCCCAGAAAUUUACUGGCGUAAACAUCUAAAGAAAAGGCUGCAAAUAGAUUUGAAGGUGUUGGAUUCCUUUAAUAUCAGGCUGAUUUUUCUUUUUCUGAGUCCUAGUUCUAGGUUCCGUGGGAGAGGAAACUCCUGAUUUAUUUAUUUUUUUUAAGUUUAUUUAUUUUGUGGGGGAGAGAGAGCAUGCACGUGCGCACGUGAGCCAGAGAGGGGCAGAGAGAGAGGGAGGGACAGAGAGAGAGGGAGAGAGAAUCCUAAGCAGGCUGGGCACACUGUCGGCACAGAGCUGGGCUCGGGGCUCGAUCUCACAGACCGUGAGAUCAUGACCAGAGCAGAAAAAGAGUCGGACGCUUAACCGACUGAGCCACCCCGGCGCCCUGAGGACACUCCUGAUUUAAACCCUGGGUUUAUGGCAUCCUAAUCCUUCCACAUUCUUGGAACAGAAAUUUCAACACUACAUAACAGGAGCCGAGGCUAUCUGGAGGAAGAGGGGAAUAUGACACUUUACCGCAGGAAAAACAAGAUUUCAGCUUUUUGCCUUUCUUCCAAUUGAAAUUUCCGAAAUGUCUAUCUUUUCUCAAACAAAAUGUCCAUUACUUCUGGGGAAACAGUAAGUCAGCAAAAUCCGGAAGAAUAAAGCUGAGCUUGGGAAUCAAGUGUUCUUGGUAAUAUACAAAAUUGCAGGCCACAAUUCAGCUAAUGGGGAGACUUCCUAUUUGUUCAGCAAUCAGGUUGUAAUUUUAAAAUGCUGAUUAGGGAAUGCAUAGGGCAUGAACAGGGGAAGUUGGAAAUGGGACAUCCUGUCUGAUGCAACCCUCAUGUCACCCAAUAUGGUUGCCCAUAACACCCAACUGGCUAUAAUUAGAGUGAGUACGAGGUGAGCAAAUACCACUCCUGUCCACUUCUUCUUUUCAUCAAAUCCAUUCUGUUUUUAUAAGAUCAAACCACAGGGAAUAGCUCCUUUACCUUUUCUGAUGCGUCUCGGCACUCAGCACGUGAGCUGAGAAAGAGUAGAACCGGAAUAGACAAGCCUAUGGUAGUACUUUGAGAAAAGAAUAAAGGAGGGAGAUUCUGGGGACAGUGUAGAAUAGGUAAGACUUGGGGGGGGGUAGAGAGAGGGAAGGGUGAUGUGUCGCAGGCUCAGGGAGUCAGCCCUACCGAUCUGGGGUAGAAGGUAAGGGGUUGAAAUGUAGGGUAAUUUCUGGGAGAGCAGGUGAUCCCGUCAGAUUGGCAAACAGGAAGUGUCCGGCCAGAGGUAUGGCUAAACAGCAGGCACAGUUGGGCUUUUUUGUUACUAAUCAUAGGCACAAUCUGUGUGGUAAAGCACGGCUGCCAUGAGUGAACAGUUCCUAUUAUGUGCCUUUGCUCCCCAAAUGGAACCAUUAUUUCUGGUUUUAUCAGUUGAAAAGCCAACAGCCGUUCUAAUAGUCCUUGACUUCCAUAUUUCCUCUCAAGAGCAAGAAACAAGGGUACUUCAUUAAAGAGUGAACUGCAGUGUCUUUGACUGCAUUCUCUUUCCCAGCUCUCUUAUUUCUGCUUCCAGAAUAAUCUUCUUAAAACACUGAGGCAAAAUUACAAGUUCUCCAUAAAUACUUGCUGAUCGGCUGACGUUCACGAAGACAGUAGCUUUCUGUGUGUGCAUUUGCAGACAUAACUUGAGCUAACCAUCUAUUAGUCAAGACGAUGCAGAGAGGAGGUUCAUCGUGGAGUUUUUGUUCACUGGGACAUCUUAAGACCAGCCGGGAUUGCAGAGAAGUGUUCACCAGGUCAACCAACUGCCCCGACUUAAGUUUUAGAGUAUAAAUAUAGGUGAUAUCUGGAAAUGGAAAGCAAAGCUUUAUAGAAAGCUUGGCUUGAAACCUCAUACCUCUUCUCAUUUAAUGUUUAUUACCUGUCCUGUCCCAGGGAUUUUUAUCCCCAUGGCACAACUGCGUAAACCAAGGUUGAGAGAUGUUGGAUAAGUUGCUCAAGGUCCUAGGGCUGUUUGCGAUGGAGAUAUAGUUUGCCCUCGGUCCCUUCUACUGUAUUUCCAGGUCACCCCGUGUUCCAUGCUUCCUCUCAGACUGCUCAAAGCUGGGAACAGAACUGGCAGUGUAACCUGAACUCCAUUCUCUAAGGAGACAGAGAGGCAAGGGUGGAGGGAAAGAGACAGGCUUAUGCCAAGAGGGCCACGGGCCAAGUGUAAGAGGCAGGGCACCUUUUCAAGGGGGGCAAAGCUUUGCUUAUGCUUGCCAUGGGUACUACUAGAAGUAUCUAAGAACCUCUUUUGCUCUGAGGUAAAGGGUUAGUUAACCUGCGCUCAUGGGCGAGGGUGGCUAGUUCGUAAGUGGUGCCGUGGGACUCUGGGUUUCCUCCUGGCUAGAGAGAGAGUGUGAAGAAUGGUAACCAUUCCUUGGAAUUCUUCACUUCUAGGGAAAAGGUGAUUUCAAAAGCCAUCGGCUAAGAAUCGCACGAUUCUUGGUGAACAGUGCCAUCUAGCGACCUGCUGUAUUUAGUUCCAGCCCGGUAGGGCAACCUUGUAGGAAAGACUGGCUUCACGAGACACGGAGAGCUAAUCACAAAACCGUGGAAGAGGAGUUCCAGGCUCUCCUGUGUUCUUCCAGAACUUCUUUCCUGUCUAUACAUGGAAGAUACAGACAUCUCACUCACCACUCUCUUGCAGAAGAAGUUUAGAAGGGGGUUGCCCAUGCAUUCAUUUGACACAUUUUUAUUCAGUGCCUGUUAUGCGCCCGCCAUGGUUGCAUGGUUGCGGGUCCUGGGGAUGCGCCAUGGGGAAAAUUAAAUAAAAAUCCCUGCUUGUAUGGGCACAGAGACCAGAGACAAGAAAAAACUGAAUGGAGAGUAUCUCAGAUGGCCAUGAGUGCCAAGGAGAAAAAUAAAGCAGUUGGAAGGGGUGUGGGAGGUGUUGGGGAGAGGAGGGCUUGAUAAAGAGUAGGAAGGGAAGGUGUCGCUGGAAGGUUCCAUUUGAACAAAGACCUGAAGGAGAGAAGGGAACAUGAGGGGGAAAAGCAUUCCUGGCAGGAGGAACAUGGAGGAGGCAAGGGUGGAUGGAGGAGAGAGAAGAGGGGCAGAUACAUAGGAAAAGAGGUCGGAAUGGUCAUGCUUGGGCAUGUGGAGGAGGGACGAGAAGCCACUGGAUAUUUGGACUUAUAUUUGAACAGAAUCACUUAGGCAGCUGUGCUGAAAACAAAGGUGUCUUGGGAGGGGCGCCUGGGCGGCUCAAUCGCUUGAGCGUCCGAGUUCAGCUCAGAUCAUGAUCUCACGGUUUGUGAGUUCGAGCCCUGCGUCGGGUUCUGUGCUGACAGCGCGGAGCCCAUUUCAGAUCCUCUGUCCCCGCCCCUCUCUCUGCACCUUCCCUGUUCACUCUCUUUCUCUCAAAAAUAAACAAAACAUUAAACAAAAAGGUGCCCUGGGAGAUUCACAGUUCCCUUUAGCACAUUUAAAAACUCCACAAACCCCAGUUUAUUAUUUAUUUAACGUUGUUUAACGAGGACUUUCCAGGCUUACACAGAUCUCUUUCUUCCCGCAACACCCACUACCUUCUUGCGGGACCCGAGAAACAAAAGUCAGCGCUGAUAAGCAGACUGUGAUGUUCCCGACAGUCAUAAAUGACUCGAGCCCAAAGCCAACAGAAAGCAGUGAUUUUCCCAAGGCCACACCACAACUGCAAAGGAGCUACCGUUGAGUGACUAAUUCUUUCUUAUCAGUACCUUCCGCAGAUUUGCUCCAUUCCUCCGUUAUGAAACCACGCCACUUCACGGCCACUGGCAGUCCGGGCCCGAUUCCUGUAUCCCCUACCCUUCCCACCUUAGAGUCACUUAGCACAAACCCAAAACCCCACCAAAAAACCCCUUCCUACAGCCACCGUGGUUCAUUUGGUGUACGUUUUCCCUUGCUGCACCAAGUGAAGAAAAUGAACAUCGACUGGGUGAACCUGGCGAUCUUGACCUACAGCUUUAUCUAUCUGCCCCUAGGAUUUUGUAGAUCAAAGUUUAAGAAGAGCUGGACAAAAUAACGACUUCCUACCAUCAUAUUCUUUGAGUCUAAGGCAGAGAUACCGUGCCCCGCUAAAACGUCUUGCGUACCAAGUGGAACACAAUGUCUGGUCCAUGAAAGUGGAACACUACCAGAAAGGAGGCUGGUGCUUGUGCUGAGCCGCCUUCAGCAGCUCCACGUCCCACAUUGCUGAUGAGUGAGAGCCUCUGUUAUAAAUGGAAACGUGAACUGGCAAGUGCUCACCGGCUAACGCUGAACCCACCAGCUUAUUUUGCUACCUAUUAUGUACGUGAUCUGCGAUUUUGCUUAUCGAUUGCAAAUAUGCACGAGGAAUAGGAAGCUGGCGUGUUUUCCAAAAACGAGACGGAGCGUUUUCGCUGCUGCGUGUCUCAACCAGGUAUGGCUUCGACUUUUCAUCAUUUCUCUGAGAUCAGAAACAGCCUUUGGUGGGCUUCUAAUUUUUUUUUUUUUUUUAAUAGAAGUUUGGCUCCCGAGACUGUUUCAGAGCCUUUAGGAAAGAUACCAAGUGGACGAGACAUGUCUGAAAAUAUUUAAAGUGGCGAUUUCCUAGGCCCUCCUUCUCCACUUUCUCCGUAGACAUCUGUUCCCAUAUGUGGAGGUUUAAGUCAGCCUCUAUCUACAGAUGACCCUUGUCUGACCUCACUCUCUGGAAUGCUCUGCCUGCCUCUGUCUUUCAUGCCAGAGCACAUCAACACUACCUUCUGCUGGCAUUCCUGAUAGGAUCUCUUUCUCCCGAGCUCUUGAAAGAAUCCUGCUUCAGCAACUCUAGAGAAUGGUGGGAGAGUCGGUCUUUAAAAACAGAUUUAUCCCAUACCAAGGACAGGAAUCACUUAUUUUGCACCACUGUGUGCAUUGACUCUUCUUUUCUCCCAAUCCAUGAACAUAGUAUAGAUUCUUAGGUCCCCUUGACCCAGGAAUGCAGUUUCCCAUGCCUACAUAGGCCAAGUCCUUCGUUCUCAGAGAAUCUAAUUACGUUAGCCUGUGUAUUUUCUUUAAAACGGUUAUCACAACCUAAAAUUACCUUGUUUAUUUGCUUACAUAUUCACUGUCUAUCUCCUCUAUCUGGAAAGUAAACUCCAUGAGAGCAGGCUCUUUCUUUUUUUUUUUUUUAAAGAAAAGUCUUUUUUAAAUUAUUUCUUUAUUUUUAGAGAGAGAGAGAGAGAGAGAGUGCACAUGAGCAAGGGAGAGAGGGAGAAUCUAAAGCAGGCUCCACACUCAGUGUGGGGACCAACUCUCAGGUCUCCAUCCCAUGACCCCGGGAUCCUGACCUGAGCCAAAAUCGAGAGUCAGACACUCAACCGACUGAGCCACUCAGGCGCCGUGAGAGCAGGGCCUUAUGUGUCUUCUCCCAGCAUCCAGAGCAAUGCUUGUCCACAUAAUAGGUGCUCAUGGAAUAUUUGCCAACUGACUGACUUACAGAAUCAGUCGUUAAAACAUCAUAUGAAAAUUAGCUUUCCAUUAACUCCUUCUAAGUGUCAUUUUCUUGUCUCUCUUGAACGAUGAUAUUGUCCAAAUGGAGCUAGUAUUGUAACCAAAUACCAAUUAACUAUGUUAGUGGCUUUUGAGAUUUGGGACCCCCUUUACACCCUUAAAAGUUGUUGAAGACCCAAAGAGCUAGUGUUCAUGUGAGUCAUAUCUGUCAUUAUUUAGUGUGAUAGAAAUGAAAACUGAGAAGAGUUCAAAAUAUUUAUCUACUAAUUCAUUAAAAAUAAUAAACCCAUUAUAUGUUAACAUUCA